UCUGAAUCUGCGAACGGCUCCGCAAACCAGUUGUAAACCAAAGCAAGCUAGUCCGUAGCUCGGCCUUAACGGGUCGGGUUGCGGGUGAUACGGAUAACCCUGGUAAUUCUGAGGCUAAUACGAGAACGUAGUCCCUGGCUAACCGGUUGCUGCCUAUUCGGUGGCUUCUGUACUGGAAAGCUGGGGGGCGUGUGAUCUAUUAUGCAAGACGAGUCCAGGAAGGGGUGCACGCUCUAACCACAACAAUGACAGUUCGGACGGAACCCUCCGGGGGGAAGCCAGUUCUGAGUGGCUCUUGCGGGGUGCUUCUGACCUAUCAACUAGAUGGCAGCGUAACGGACAUGCCAUGGU
rnacentral:rRNA from 1 species